CCGCACGCGCGCGCUACUGAUGCAUGCAACGAGUUUAGAACCUUGGCUGAGAGGCCUGGGUAAUCUGUGAACGUGCAUCGUGAUAGGGAUUGAUGAUUGCAACUAUUCAUCAUGAACGAGGAAUUCCUAGUAAACGUGAGUCAUCAGCUCACAUUGAUUACGUCCCUGCCCUUUGUACACACCGCCCGU
rnacentral:rRNA from 1 species